GGCCGACUGGCCCAAUGGCAAGGCGCUUGACUACGAAUCAAGAGAUUGCAGGGUAAGCUUUCUUUCUAAUUCAUACUUAUAACAUAUAUUGAUCUAUCUUCAGUUCGAUCCCUGCGUCGGUCA